GACGAACGCUGGCGGCGUGCUUAACACAUGCAAGUCGAACGGAAAGGCCCUGCUUGCAGGGUACUCGAGUGGCGAACGGGUGAGUAACACGUGGGUGAUCUGCCCUGCACUUCGGGAUAAGCUUGGGAAACUGGGUCUAAUACCGGAUAGAAACCAUCUUUAGUGUGGUGGUUGGAAAGUUUUUUCGGUGUAGGAUGAGCUCGCGGCCUAUCAGCUUGUUGGUGGGGUAAUGGCCUACCAAGGCGGCGACGGGUAGCCGGCCUGAGAGGGUGUACGGCCACAUUGGGGAUGAGAUACGGCCCAGACUCCUACGGGAGGCAGCAGUGGGGAAUAUUGCACAAUGGGCGCAAGCCUGAUGCAGCGACGCCGCGUGGGGGAUGAAGGCCUUCGGGUUGUAAACUCCUUUCGCUAGGGACGAAGCUUUGUUGUGACGGUACCUAGAGAAGAAGCACCGGCUAACUACGUG
rnacentral:rRNA from 1 species